rnacentral:miRNA from 1 species
CAUAUGUGUAUAUGUGUAUAUGUGUAUGCAGUGUAUGUAUAUGCACACACACACAUACACACACACAUACACAUGUUCCAGCCUCACACACUUAU